rnacentral:rRNA from 2 species
UGGGGGGGCUAAUACAUGCAAGUCGAAGCGAACUGAUUAGAAGCUUGCUUCUAUGACGUUAGCGGCGGACGGGUGAGUAACACGUGGGCAACCUGCCUGUAAGACUGGGAUAACUUCGGGAAACCGAAGCUAAUACCGGAUAGGAUCUUCUCCUUCAUGGGAGAUGAUUGAAAGAUGGUUUCGGCUAUCACUUACAGAUGGGCCCGCGGUGCAUUAGCUAGUUGGUGAGGUAACGGCUCACCAAGGCAACGAUGCAUAGCCGACCUGAGAGGGUGAUCGGCCACACUGGGACUGAGACACGGCCCAGACUCCUACGGGAGGCAGCAGUAGGGAAUCUUCCGCAAUGGACGAAAGUCUGACGGAGCAACGCCGCGUGAGUGAUGAAGGCUUUCGGGUCGUAAAACUCUGUUGUUAGGGAAGAACAAGUACAAGAGUAACUGCUCGUACCUUGACGGUACCUAACCAGAAAGCCACGGCUAACUACGUGCCAGCAGCCGCGGUAAUACGUAGGUGGCAAGCGUUAUCCGGAAUUAUUGGGCGUAAAGCGCGCGCAGGCGGUUUCUUAAGUCUGAUGUGAAAGCCCACGGCUCAACCGUGGAGGGUCAUUGGAAACUGGGGAACUUGAUUGCAGAAGAGAAAAGCGGAAUUCCACGUGUAGCGGUGAAAUGCGUACAGAUGUGGAGGAACACCAGUGGCGAAGGCGGCUUUUUGGUCUGUAACUGACGCUGAGGCGC